AUUGAACGCUGGCGGCAUGCCUAACACAUGCAAGUCGAACGGGGCAGCAAUGCCUAGUGGCGGACGGGUGAGGAAUACGUAGGAAUCUGCCCUUAAGUGGGGGAUAACCAGGGGAAACCCUGACUAAUACCGCAUGAUCUCUUCGGAGCAAAGAGGGGGACCGCAAGGCCUCUCGCUUCUGGAUGAGCCUACGUCUGAUUAGCUAGUUGGUAGGGUAGAGGCCUACCAAGGCGACGAUCAGUAACUGGUCUGAGAGGAUGAUCAGUCACACCGGAACUGAGACACGGUCCGGACUCCUACGGGAGGCAGCAGUGGGGAAUAUUGGACAAUGGGCGCAAGCCUGAUCCAGCAAUGCCGCGUGUGUGAAGAAGGCCUUCGGGUUGUAAAGCACUUUAGCCUGGAAAGAAAAAACUUUGGUUAACACCCAAAGUCUUGACGGUACCGGGAGAAUAAGCACCGGCUAACUCUGUGCCAGCAGCCGCCGUAACAC
rnacentral:rRNA from 1 species